UAAAGGGUGCGCAGGCGGAACUUUAAGUCAGUGGUGAAAUACUGCAGCUCAACCUGUAGAAUUGCCAUUGAUACUGUCAUUCUUGAGUAUAGAUGAGGUAGGCGGAAUGAGUAGUGUAGCGGUGAAAUGCAUAGAUAUUACUCAGAACACCAAUUGCGAAGGCAGCUUACUAAACUAUAACUGACGCUGAAGCACGAAAGCGUGGGUAUCAAACAGGAUUAGAUACCCUGGUAGUCCACGCCGUAAACGAUGAUUACUGGUUGUUUGCGAUACACAGUAAGCGACUGAGCGAAAGCAUUAAGUAAUCCACCUGGGGAGUACGUUGGCAACAAUGAAACUCAAAGGAAUUGACGGGGGCCCGCACAAGCGGUGGAACAUGUGGUUUAAUUCGAUGAUACGCGAGGAACCUUACCUGGGCUUAAAUGGGGAGUGACAGGGGUAGAAAUACCCUUUUCUUCGGACACUCUUCAAGGUGCUGCAUGGUUGUCGUCAGCUCGUGCCGUGAGGUGUCGGGUUAAGUCCCAUAACGAGCGCAACCCCUGUUGUCAGUUACCAUCACGUAAAGGUGGGGACUCUGACAAGACUGCCGGUGUAAACCGCGAGGAAGGUGGGGAUGACGUCAAAUCAGCACGGCCCUUACGUCCAGGGCUACACACGUGUUACAAUGGCCAGUACAAAGGGCAGCUACACAGCAAUGUGAUGCUAAUCUCGAAAACUGGUCCCAGUUCGGAUUGGAGUCUGCAACCCGACUUCAUGAAGCUGGAAUCGCUAGUAAUCGCGCAUCAGCCAUGGCGCGGUGAAUACGUUCCCGGGCCUUGUACACACCGCCCGUCAAGCCAUGGAAGCCGGGAGUACCUGAAGUAUG
rnacentral:rRNA from 1 species